AUCAAAUGGCACCAGACACUUAAUUCUACCGAACCUAAACUGAUCACUGCUGAUAAGCACAUAGUGAGAAUCUGGGAUCCUAAUACACUGCUGUAUCUGCUCUGGAGUGAAUGAAGGACAUCGUCUUUGGAAGUCAGACAUCACCUAGAGCUAGGGUGUCCAUUCUUGACAUGUUUCUCUUAGUGAUAGGUGGAUACUGUCUAGCUAGGAACAGAGUCUCGAGGGAUUGAUGGACGCAUGCAUCUUCAAUUCCUGUGUGUUGUAUUACUACUGGUACAAUCUCCAAUUCUUGUGAACUUAUGUAUUUGGACUAUCAAUUUGUGAUAUGAACAUAUAUCAAUGUGUUUGAAAUCUGUAUUGUA